GCCGGGCAUGGUGGCGGAUGCCUGUAAUCCCAGCUACUCAGGAGGCUGAGGCAGGAGAAUCACUUGAGCCCAGGAGGCAGAGGUUGCAGUGACCCAAGAUGGCACCACUGCACUCCAGCCUGGGUGACAGAGUGAGACGCUGUCUCAA
rnacentral:SRP_RNA from 1 species